rnacentral:rRNA from 1 species
GACGAACGCUGGCGGCGUGCUUAACACAUGCAAGUCGAACGGAAAGGCCCUGCUUGCCGGGUACUCGAGUGGCGAACGGGUGAGUAACACGUGGGUGAUCUGCCCUGCACUUCGGGAUAAGCCUGGGAAACUGGGUCUAAUACCGGAUAGGAGCCAUUUUUAGUGUGAUGGUUGGAAAGUUUUUUCGGUGUAGGAUGAGCUCGCGGCCUAUCAGCUUGUUGGUGGGGUAAUGGCCUACCAAGGCGGCGACGGGUAGCCGGCCUGAGAGGGUGGACGGCCACAUUGGGACUGGGAUACGGCCCAGACUCCUACGGGAGGCAGCAGUGGGGAAUAUUGCACAAUGGGCGCAAGCCUGAUGCAGCGACGCCGCGUGGGGGAUGACGGCCUUCGGGUUGUAAACUCCUUUCGCUAGGGACGAAGCUUUUUGUGACGGUACCUAGAGAAGAAGCACCGGCUAACUACGUG